UUCUUAGAUGACUGAGAUUUAAGUGUUAGAUUUUUAAUCUAAAAACGGCAAGAGUGCCUCUAAGAAU
rnacentral:tRNA from 1 species